rnacentral:tRNA from 1 species
GGCCCGUUCGUAUAGUGGUUAGUAUAUCGCCCUUUCACGGCGGCGGCACGAGUUCGAUUCUCGUACGGGCUA